AGUUUGAUCAUGGCUCAGGAUGAACGCUAGCGGCAGGCUUAAUACAUGCAAGUCAAGGGGUAGCAAUACAACCGGCGCACGGGUGAGUAACGCGUACACAACAUACCAUAUACUGGAGUAUAGCUUUGGGAAACUGAAGGUAAUCCUCCAUAACAUUGCGAGAGGGCAUCUGAUUGCAAUUAAAGUUUCGGCGGUAUAUGAUUGGUGUGCGUUUGAUUAGCUAGUUGGUAGGGUAACGGCAUACCAAGGCGACGAUCAAUAGCUGGCGUGAGAGCGCGACCAGCCACACUGGAACUGAGACACGGUCCAGACUCCUACGGGAGGCAGCAGUAGGGAAUAUUGGACAAUGGAGGAAACUCUGAUCCAGCCAUGCCGCGUGAUAGAUGAAGGCCCUCUGGGUUGUAAAUAUCUUUUAUCUGGGAAGAAACACUCCUAUUCUUAGGAACUUGACGGUACCAGAGGAAUAAGCACCGGCUAACUCCGUG
rnacentral:rRNA from 1 species